GAUGAACGCUGGCGGCGUGCCUAAUACAUGCCAGUCGAGCGAACGGACGAGAAGCUUGCUUCUCUGAUGUUAGCGGCGGACGGGUGAGUAACACGUGGAUAACCUACCUAUAAGACUGGGAUAACUUCGGGAAACCGGAGCUAAUACCGGAUAAUAUUUUGAACCGCAUGGUUCAAAAGUGAAAGACGGUCUUGCUGUCACUUAUAGAUGGAUCCGCGCUGCAUUAGCUAGUUGGUAAGGUAACGGCUUACCAAGGCAACGAUGCAUAGCCGACCUGAGAGGGUGAUCGGCCACACUGGAACUGAGACACGGUCCAGACUCCUACGGGAGGCAGCAGUAGGGAAUCUUCCGCAAUGGGCGAAAGCCUGACGGAGCAACGCCGCGUGAGUGAUGAAGGUCUUCGGAUCGUAAAACUCUGUUAUUAGGGAAGAACAUAUGUGUAAGUAACUGUGCACAACUUGACGGUACCUAAUCAGAAAGCCACGGCUAACUACGUG
rnacentral:rRNA from 1 species